rnacentral:rRNA from 1 species
AUUGAACGCUGGCGGCAGGCCUAACACAUGCAAGUCGAGCGGAUGAAGGGAGCUUGCUCCUGGAUUCAGCGGCGGACGGGUGAGUAAUGCCUAGGAAUCUGCCUGGUAGUGGGGGAUAACGUCCGGAAACGGGCGCUAAUACCGCAUACGUCCUGAGGGAGAAAGUGGGGGAUCUUCGGACCUCACGCUAUCAGAUGAGCCUAGGUCGGAUUAGCUAGUUGGUGGGGUAAAGGCCUACCAAGGCGACGAUCCGUAACUGGUCUGAGAGGAUGAUCAGUCACACUGGAACUGAGACACGGUCCAGACUCCUACGGGAGGCAGCAGUGGGAAUAUUGGAUAAUGGGCGAAAGCCUGAUCCAGCCAUGCCGCGUGUGUGAAGAAGGUCUUCGGAUUGUAAAGCACUUUAAGUUGGGAGGAAGGGCAGUAAGUUAAUACCUUGCUGUUUUGACGUUACCAACAGAAUAAGCACCGGCUAACUUCGUG